rnacentral:rRNA from 1 species
UAACAGGAUUUUGAUACCCUGGUAGUCCACGCCGUAAACGAUGAGUGCUAAGUGUUAGAGGGUUUCCGCCCUUUAGUGCUGCAGCUAACGCAUUAAGCACUCCGCCUGGGGAGUACGGCCGCAAGGCUGAAACUCAAAGGAAUUGACGGGGGCCCGCACAAGCGGUGGAGCAUGUGGUUUAAUUCGAAGCAACGCGAAGAACCUUACCAGGUCUUGACAUCCUCUGACAACCCUAGAGAUAGGGCUUUCCCCUUCGGGGGACAGAGUGACAGGUGGUGCAUGGUUGUCGUCAGCUCGUGUCGUGAGAUGUUGGGUUAAGUCCCGCAACGAGCGCAACCCUUGAUCUUAGUUGCCAGCAUUCAGUUGGGCACUCUAAGGUGACUGCCGGUGACAAACCGGAGGAAGGUGGGGGAUGACGUAA